rnacentral:ncRNA from 1 species
CUCUUAUCUAGAGGUCACGUGAGAAUAAAGGUAUAGGGUAGGCUCUCUGUCCUCUAUUGAUAAGGUAUUAUAGAAGUUGAAUAACCCAAUGUCUUCCGUCCGGACUGGCCCAGAGAGGUGGGCAACUACCACUCAGGGCCGGAAAGCUCUCCAAACUCGGUCAUUUAGGUUCCAUGUGAACAGCGGUUGGACGUGGGUUAGCCGAUCCUAAGCCAUAGGGAAGUUCCGUUUCAAAGGCGCACUCGUGCGCCGUCUGGCGAAAGGGGAGCCGGUUAACAUUCCGGCGCCUGGAUGUGGGUUUUGCGCGGCAACGCAACUGAACGCGGAGACGACGGCGGGGGCCCCGAGCAGAGUUCUCUUUUCUUCUUAACGGUCUCUCACCACUUUGAAAAAAUUAGAGUGCUCCAGGCAGGCCUAUGCUCGAAUACAUUAGCAUGGAAUAAUGAAAUAGGACGUGCGGUUCUAUUUUGUUGGUUUCUAGGACCGCCGUAAUGAUUAAUAGGGACAGUCGGGGGCAUCAGUAUUCAAUUGUCAGAGGUGAAAUUCUUGGAUUUAUUGAAGACUAACUACUGCGAAAGCAUUUGCCAAGGAAGGGAAGUCGGCAAAAUAGAUCCGUA